CGGGUCUGCGUUUCGUCGGUCUCGAGACCCGAGGCGUUGAUUAAGAGGGACAGCCGGGGGCGUUCGUACCGCGGCGCGAGAGGUGAAAUUCGUGGACCGUCGCGAGACGACCUAGAGCGAAAGCAUCCGCCAAGGGUGUUUUCUUUAGUCAAGAACGAAAGUCAGAGGCUCGAAGACGAUCAGAUACCGUCGUAGUUCUGACCAUAAACGGUGUCGCCUACUCGUCGGCCGCGGAUCUCGAUCGACCCGGCCGGCGACCCCCGGGAAACCUUCGAGGCUUCCGACUCCGGGGGAAGUACGUUUGCAAAGAUGAAACUUAAAGGACUUGACGGAAGGACACCACCAGGAGUGGAGCCUGCGGCUUAAUUCGACUCAACACGGGGCAACUCACCCGGGCCGGACUUCGCGAGGAUUGACAGAUCGAUAGCUCUUUCUCGAUUCGCGGGAUGGUGGUGCAUGGCCGUUCCUAGUUGGUGGAGCGAUUUGUCUGGUUAAUUCCGAUAACGAACGAGACUCGAGCCCGCUAAAUAGACGGGAGAUCCG
rnacentral:rRNA from 1 species